AGAGUUUGAUUAUGGCUCAGGAUGAACGCUAGCUACAGGCUUAACACAUGCAAGUCGAGGGGCAUCAUGAAGGAAGCUUGCUUCCUUGAUGGCGACCGGCGCACGGGUGAGUAACGCGUAUCCAACCUUCCCCUCAGUAGGGCAUAGCCCGUAGAAAUGCGGAUUAAUACCCUAUGUGGUCCGAUGAGGACAUCUGAGCUGGACGAAAGGUUUACCGCUGAGGGAUGGGGAUGCGUCUGAUUAGGUAGUCGGCGGGGUAACGGCCCACCGAGCCAUCGAUCAGUAGGGGUUCUGAGAGGAAGGUCCCCCACACUGGUACUGAGACACGGACCAGACUCCUACGGGAGGCAGCAGUGAGGAAUAUUGGUCAAUGGGCGAGAGCCUGAACCAGCCAAGUAAGCGUGCAGGAUGACGGCCCUACGGGUUGUAAACUGCUUUUAUGCGGGGAUAAAGUGAGGGACUUGUCCCUUUUUGCAGGUACCGCAUGAAUAAGGACCGGCUAAUUCCGUGCCAGCCGCGGC
rnacentral:rRNA from 1 species